GGGACCUAAUUUGAAUAAUAGAGUGCUUGGUAUCUGGUGGGCGGGGCUUGUGUGUGGCCCCUCCCUUCAGUGUGUGUUCCAUUAUGUUCAGUUAAGAAUGUCAGUUAAGAGGGACCAACUCUUGUUUCUUGCCUCAGACUUGCCUCAUGUUGUAGUAUUUAGUUUCUCUCAUCAUCUUAUUUUGUUACAGUUUUCUUUAUUAUUAAAGCUUAGUAUACAUUUACGUGAGCCAAGGAAAGGUGUGGAAUAUCCUAAACUUGGGUGAGUGAGGGGAUAUUCCCAGUUUGCCAGGAGAAUUGGUUUUGUUAAUCACUCCCCACUUCCACAAUGUGUAAAAGAACCCAACAGUUCAUCCUGGAAAAAAGUGACAAGUAGGGUGCCAUAGGGUCCUGUCCUGAAUCUGUUGUUUUUCAAUGUAUUUAUAAACGACUUAGAUGAUGGAACUGAGGGGAUGCUUAUCAAAUUUACUUUAACAGAUUGGAGAACUGGGCCAAAACCAACAACAUGAAUUUCAGUAGGGGCAAAUGCAAGGUUCUGCACUUAGGCAGGAAGAACCAACUGCACAAAUAUAAGAUGGGGAAUCCUGGCUUGCUAAUAGUGCACGUGAAAAGGAUUUAGGGCUCUUAGUAGACCACAAGCUGAACAUGAGUCAAGAAAGUGAUUCAGCAAUGUGGGGGUGGAAAUAUAAUGCUCUUCUAAGUUGCAAUAACAGUAAUGUCCCAAUCAAGGGAAAUCAUAGUACAGUUCUGCUCUAUUCUGCCUUGGUCAGACCACACCUGGAAUACUGUGUCCUAUUCUUGGCACCACAAGAAGUAUAUUGACAAGCUGGAAUGUAUGCAGAGGAGAGCAGUCCAGAUGAUCAAGGGUUGAGAAACCAAGCCGCCUUAGGAUCUUUGGAGGUUUUAAAGCAGACAUUGGAUGGUCACCUGUCAUGGAUGCUUUAGUUGAGAUUCCUGCAUUGCAAAGAGUUGGACUAGAUUACCCUAGAGGUACCUUCCAACUCUAAAUCCUAUGAUUCUUCUUCUUCUUCUUCUUCUUCUUCAUCAUCAUCAUCAUCAUCAUCAUCAUCAAAGUUGUUUGUGUCUGUUCUCUGUACAUAUCCUCACCAAAUUUGUCACAAUGGUUCCUGAGACCGAGGAACAGAUUUUUGUGUAUGUUUGGAUAUCAUCUGAUGCUAUUUUGAAUCAAGAUGGCUGGCUAAAUUUUUCAAAACUGCCUUGAUUUUAAUCAUUGGUCUCAAAAUUGCACUGAUCUUUCUUUCUUUCUUUCUUUCUUUCUUUCUUUCUUUCUUUCUUUCUUUCUUUCUAUCCCCUAACAAUGCCAGACACUUUCUGUUAGUAUUCACAUAAAGCAGAUCUAAAAUAUCUAGAUAACUACAAACUGACUGGCCACAAAUAAUUAUUCCCUUUUUCCAUCUGAAAUUUAGAGUCUGCACAAAAAGAUGCAUUUAAAAAAUACACUCAGUCACAUUGUAAACAGGUGAAUAAGCAUAUAGUACUUGUUCCUUGAAAAAUAAAUUUGAUGUUUUAUAUUCCCAGAAAUAAACUGGACUAAAAAUAAUGUUUGUGUGGUAUGUUACAUGACAGGUUUGUAAAGGAGAAAUUUCAAGUCUCUGCAGUCUACGAUCCCUGGUUAGCACUAGCAGAGCGCUUUGGGAUGCAGUCCCAAUAUCAAUGGCUUACAGGAACUCCUGGAAACCUCUCAAAGCAGCUUCAGUGAUGGCAAUUAGGCUGUGACCCAGCUCCUUCAUCUUCAGUUGUUAGAGGGCUGUACGAAUAACAUGACCCAAAACUUUAUAGUAACACUUUCAUCUGCAUUCUGGAGCAUUUAAUUAAAUUUUCAAUUAAUCAUUAUUUGAAUGUUGGGCCUCCUGCUGCUGCAAUAUAUUUGAUUAAGAAUUAGGCCAUGUGUAAGCCUACAUUAGUAAACCCAAAUUAAGCUUUUCAUAAAAGCUAAUUUGCCAAUCACUGCUUUCAGACCAACAAAACACUAGAGGGAUUUUUAUUUUAUUUCUUACAGAUUACGUGUCUCUAUUUAGGACCUUUCUUCCAUUUUGAAUAUCUAUAAUUCUGUUAAAUUUAUAUUAUAUUGCUGCAGCUUUUCUGAAAAGUACCAUUCAUUUUCAAAUGAUAGGAGGCUAACCUAUUAAUGCUAUACAAUUAUUGAGUUUCUGUAUCACUGGAUGUGGUCAGUGGCUAUUUCAUUGUGUACUCACCCCGUAAGAGACCAAUAGUGCAGUAAGAUUAUUUUAGACACUGGAUUUAAGGGUCUUACAUGAGGUGUUUGUGUGCAGGAGGGAAGGGGGCCUGGGAGGUAAUUUACUUCACUUCUGAAGAAGUGUGCAUGCACAUGAAAGCUUAUACCCAGAACAAACUUAAUUGGUCUCUAAGGUGCUACUGGACAAUUUUUUAUUUUUAUAUAUAUUCCAAAUGUGGUAAGUCCUGUGUUUGUGGACCUUCAUGCUCAUUUAGUUUAGUUUAAUGUGGCCCUGGCCUUUUGUCCGAAAAGCUCUGCCUUGAUGACACCACAAGGUAACAGCACUUGGAAGUACUCACAAAUGCCAUCUUGCCAAUGUGUGCUCAUUAAGGCUGAUGGGCAACCACAGCAGAAAAUAUGGUACCAGCUGAUGCACUAUCACACUUGCUCUAUUUUGUGACAGCUUUCAAUGAGAAAUCAAUCAAGGCUAAGAUACUGGAAAAAACCAGAGUGUCUUGGAAUUCUAAACUAUUACAAUGAUCGAACUCUUAAUCCUGCGUACAAUACUGGUAACCCUUGCUCACUUAUUUUAACCAAUUCUGAUUAUAAUAAGCACAGAAAACAUUAAACAUAUUACAAAGCAGAAAGAUAAAAAGACGACUAAGGAUCUUGAUUCACAUUCUCCUUUUAUGCUUAAAAUAAAGUGAUAUCCCUUUGUGUUUAAAUUAAGUGUAUUGUUGCCAUAGUAGGUGAGAAUACAUGCCCAUUAGUUGAUGAAUAAUGGUAUUAUAUGACAUAUAAAUAAAAAACAUAUUAGCUCCUUUAAAAAAGAAUCACAGAAUGGCACUAAGUCCUCUGGAGAAUUCAUAUUGGAACGUUCCUGGAACAUGUGACCUGAUUUGUUUUUUUGAUACAUCUUUUCGGAGAUACAUUUAUUGCUCUAGAUUCCUCUCUCUAAAGAAGUGAAGUGGAUGACCACUAGGGAGAGGUCAUUUUUGGUGGGGGCACUCUAGUUGUACUAUGACUUCUUCAGGGGGGCUCAACUAGCACAUAUGAUAAGGUCUUUUCAGUGCCACAUGAAAACCAUUUUAGUCUUUACAAAUUAUGCUUCAGUGUAUUUUAGUCUAUGGAACAAAUGGCUUUCAGCUGGGUUUUAUCAUUGUAAAACAAAUUUAUGCUGCUUGUGUUGACUUUAUGCAUAUAAUUGGUAGGCUUAUUGCUGCAAUGUGUCUGGUUUUUGUUUCUUUUAAAAAAGUGAACUUCCCAGAGACUGUGGUUAAUGGGCAGACUCGAAAUGUAAAAAAUAGGAUAAAAUAAUUGAUUGAUUCUCCCACAAGAUGCUCAGUUUCUGAGCUUUACUGAAGAUUAUCAGCCACUUAAAAGAGGGAAUUUCUGAAGGAGUAGUUGCUUAUAUGUCAUAAGUCUUAAAAUGAAACAGACACUACCACUUGCAUGGAAAGUAAAAUAUCAUGUAUAGUAUAAACAAGAUAAACAAGAUGAGCUUGAGCUCUUGGUACAGCAAACUAAAUAUGACAUAAUAGGCAUCACUGAAACCUGGUGGGAUAAGUCCCACGAUUGGAAUGUAAUAAUGGAGGGAUACAACCUAUUUCAGAGAAACAGACCAGACAAGAAAGGAGGAGGAGUGGCGUUAUAUGUCAGGGAUGUGUAUACCUGUGAAGAGAUCCAAGAUUUAGAACCUCAAAGCCAAAGUGAGAGCAUUUGGGUCAAAAUUAAGGAGAAUAACAGUGACCUCAUUGUGGGAGUUUACUAUAGAUCCCCAAGCCAAACGGGGGACAUAGAUGAUGCCUUCCUGGAACAGAUGGCCAAGCAUGCAAAAGGAAGGGAGAUAGUAGUAAUGGGGGACUUCAAUUACCCGGAUAUUUGUUGGAUGUCAAACUCAGCCAAGAGCAUAAGAUCAAACAGAUUCCUCACUGGCCUUGCAGACAACUUCAUUGUCCAGAAAGUGGGAGAAGCAACAAGAGGAACAGCCAUUUUAGAUCUGGUCCUAACCAAUGUUGAUGACCUGGUUAGUGGGGUAGAAGUGGAAGGAUCAUUGGGCGCGAGUGAUCAUGCUCUUCUGAAGUUUACUAUACAGCCGAAACGAGCGGCCAAGCAUACUAGGACUCAAUUUCUUGACUUUAAGAAAGCCGACUUCAUAAAACUUAGGGAAGUGCUGGGUGAGAUCCCAUGGACAGUAAUACUAAAAGGAAAGGGAGUUCAUGAUAGCUGGGAGUUUGUUAAGAGGGAUAGUAAAAGCACAACGUCAGGCAAUACCAAUGAGACGGAAACAUGGAAGGUGCCUAAAGAAGCCAGGGUGGCUAUCUAAAGAACUUUUAACUGAGUUAAGAUUAAAAAAGGAUGUGUACAAAAAAUGGAAAAGGGGGAAAACCACCAAAGAGGAAUUCAAACAAAUAGCCACCACAUGUAGACACAAAGUCAGAAAAGCUAAAGCACAGAAUGAACUCAGGCUUGCUAGAGAGGUUAAAAGCAACAAAAAAGGCUUUUAUGGGUAUGUUCGUAGCAAAAGGAAGAACAAAGAAACAGUGGGGUCACUCAGAGGAGAAGAUGGUGAAAUGCAAACAGGGGACACAGAAAGGGCUGAACUCCUCAAUGCCUUCUUUGCCUCAGUCUUCUCUGAUAAAGAAAACAAUGCCCGACCUGAAGAAUUUGGAGCAAAUGAUUCAGCAGAGGAAACACAGCCCAGAAUAACUAAGGAGAUAGUGCAAGAAUACUUGGCUAGUUUAGAUGUAUUCAAGUCUCCAGGGCCAGAUGAAUUGCAUCCAAGAGUAUUAAAAGAACUGGCAGAUGUGAUCUCAGAACCACUGGCAGUCAUCUUUGAGAAUUCCUGGAGAACAGGCGAAGUCCCGGCGGACUGGAGGAGGGCAAAUGUUGUCCCUAUUUUCAAAAAGGGGAGAAGAGAGGACCCAAAUAAUUACCGCCCAGUCAGUCUGACAUCAAUACCAGGGAAGAUUCUGGAGCAGAUCAUUAAGCAAACAGUCUGUGAGCACCUAGAAAGGAAUGCUGUGAUCACCAAUAGUCAGCAUGGAUUUCUGAAAAAUAAGUCAUGUCAUACUAACCUGAUCUCGUUUUUUGACAGAAUUACAAGCCUGGUAGAUGAAGGGAACACAGUGGAUGUAGCCUACCUUGAUUUCAGCAAGGCAUUUGACAAGGUGCCCCAUGAUAUUCUUGUAAAGAAGCUGGUAAAAUGCGGUCUUGACUAUGCUACCACUCAAUGGAUUUGUAACUGGCUGACUGACCGAACCCAAAGGGUGCUCAUCAAUGGUUCCUCUUCAUCCUGGAGAAGAGUGACUAGUGGGGUGCCACAGGGUUCUGUCUUGGGCCCGGUCUUAUUCAACAUCUUUAUCAACGACUUGGAUGAUGGACUCAAGGGCAUCCUGAUCAAAUUUGCAGAUGACACCAAACUGGGAGGGGUGACUAACACCCCAGAGGACAGGAUCACACUUCAAAAUGACCUUGACAGAUUAGAGAACUGGGCAAAAACAAACAAGAUGAAUUUUAACAGGGAGAAAUGUAAAGUAUUGCACUUGGGCAAAAAAAUGAGAGGCACAAAUACAAGAUGGGGGACACCUGGCUUGAGAGCAGUACAUGUGAAAAGGAUCUAGGAGUCUUGGUUGACCACAAACUUGACAUGAGCCAACAGUGUGACGCGGCAGCUAAAAAAGCCAAUGCAAUUCUGGGCUGCAUCAAUAGGAGUAUAGCAUCUAGAUCAAGGGAAGUAAUAGUGCCACUGUAUUCUGCUCUGGUCAGACCUCACCUGGAGUACUGUGUCCAGUUCUGGGCACCACAGUUCAAGAAGGACACUGACAAACUGGAACGUGUCCAGAGGAGGGCAACCAAAAUGGUCAAAGGCCUGGAAACGAUGCCUUAUGAGGAACGGCUAAGGGAGCUGGGCAUGUUUAGCCUGGAGAAGAGGAGGUUAAGGGGUGAUAUGAUAGCCAUGUUCAAAUAUAUAAAAGGAUGUCACAUAGAGGAGGGAGAAAGGUUGUUUUCUGCUGCUCCAGAGAAACAGACACGGAGCAAUGGAUCCAAACUACAAGAAAGAAGAUUCCACCUAAACAUUAGGAAGAACUUCCUGACAGUAAGAGCUGUUUGACAGUGGAAUUUGCUGCCAAGGAGUGUGGUGCAGUCUCCUUCUUUGGAGGUCUUUAAGCAGAGGCUUGACAACCAUAUGUCAGGAGUGCUCUGAUGGUGUUUCCUGCUUGGCAGGGGGUUGGACUCGGUGGCCCUUGUGGUCUCUUCCAACUCUAUGAUUCUAUGAUUCUAUAUCCUUUUUAUUUAUUUUUUAAAAGGAGGAGGAGUACUCUUCUAGUAAAAGUCUAGAAGGGAUUCUGAAUACAUUUUAGUAAGUAGUUUUGGAGAUCAUUAUGAUUAUUUUUCUCUUGGGACAAAUUAAAUACCAACAUAUGCAUUCAUUUUGUAGUUGUUUUGGAAGCAUAGUGGUGUGAAAAAUGGGCAUAAAGAAAACUAGAAACUAGGAGACAGUUCAUAUGCUAUGGCAUAUAACUGUGCUCACCCAUGAAACAUUUUUUCACCACAAUACAGUUCAAUGCAGAUGUCCUAAGUUAUUGCUUUACCAUAGGAUGACUACAGGUAGAGAUGGGCAAAUGUGACCAUUUUGUGGUGCUUCAGUUUAUCAUAUUUCCAAUCUGGAAUUCAGUUUCUCACAUUUCCAGCUCAGUUUGUGGUGGUGGGUUUUAAGUCAUCAUGAAAAUUCACCAGCAUUUUAGUGCAAUUUCUCCUAAUUCAAUUUUGACUAAUGUACACAUUAGUGUGAAUUAGAUAGGUUCACCUCAAAAUGACAACUGAAUUGAAUUUCUCCUUCCUUUUCUGGCUACAGAUUCCCCAUCCCUGCUCUACCGCAUAAAUUGACUUUUUCAAGGGAGGGUGUCCACUUGCACAUCACACAGAAAGAGGAAACACAUCACAAAAAAGAGAACAAAAGCAGUCAUGGAUUUACGUAUAUAACAUUUGCACACCCUAUUUUUUAUGUACUGUAUAGAUGUACAUGUAGAAAUAUUGGGUGAGAGCUAGCUAAGCCAUUCUCAGAGCAGACCUGUUCUGAUCCACCAGCCAUAAGGUGAGCUCAUGGGAGUGGUUUGGUUCAGGGAUACCAAAGGACGUCCCAAAUGCCAGAGUGAUCAGUUCUGGGGCUUUAUUAUAAGAAAAAGUAAACUUACAGUAAGUCAGCCUGCAAGGCCCCACUGCUGUGAAAGAUGUGGGACAGACACUGCAACACUGAAAGGUCAGCCUGACUAGUCCACACUCAGGCAAAUGUUUAUAUAUUUUUAAACACAAAACAUCACGUGUCUGUUUACCCAGAGUCUCCCAUCACACCUGGCUGGUGAAAGCAUAGGAGGCAGGCAUCUAUGAUUUGCAGAUAGCUCCCCUCUCUGCACCAAGAGCCCAGCACCCCAGGCCUCACUGAUAUGCUAAUUGGCUUGCUUUCCUUCUGUGCUUAUCUCCAUGCAAGUCCAAUACACCUAUGAGCUCAUUCCCACAACAAUUAAAAAAAUAAUCUUGAGGUGUUCUUGACCACCAAGAUGGCAUUUGCAAGCCUCCAGGAACAUUUCACCUUUGGUUCAACACACAGAACCAGUGCUUUUAAUGGGUCUACUCUGAGUAUAAUGAUUAUUGGGUGUCACCCAUUGCUGUAACUUAUGUAGAAAUACGGUGGUACCUCAAGUUACAUACGCUUCAGGUUACAUAUGCUUCAGGUUAAAGACUCCGCUAACCCAGAAAUAGUACUUCAGGUUAAGAACUUUGCUUCAGGAUGAGAACAGAAAUCGGGCUCUGGUGGCACAGCAGCAGCAGGAGGCCCCAUUAGCUAAAGUGGUGCUUCAGGUUAAGAACAGUUUCAGGUUAAGUACAGACCUCUGGAAAGAAUUAAGUACUUAACCUGAGGUACCACUGUAUGCUACAACUGUAGGGAAAACUGUGUCUAGGUGUCCUGUGUGUCUUCUAUCCUGGACAUCUACAAGACCCCUGUUCUCCCUUAUUAUGCUUAUUUAACUUCAAAAUAGUCUUAAACCAGGCAGCCCUUCAAGUAGAGGACUCUCUUCUCUAAAUAGUACACAUGACCACCCUAACUAGGAGCCACUGUUGCUUUUAUGCAGACAUUCUGCCUCAGAGUGCUGGUCCACAAUUCAAGUUCAUAAUAUGAUGUAGCGACAGCACACAGUAUCCUCACAGGGAAGCAAUUUUGGAGUUGCAAACGAUGAAGUGACUUUAGUUUAUAGCCUUCAAAAUAUACAAUCUACAGUGUGUGUAUUCAGCCUGCGUCAGUGCUGAGAAGGUCUUCUUUCUCUCGUUUAAUUCAUGAAAGUGGGUCAAGAUUCCUUUUGUUUGGCGAUAUUUAUGUUAGCAGGCAAGUGAGCAAGCAGAGUAAAUUCAGAUUCCAUUAGUCAGAUGAAUCUGAGCAGUGCCACCUCAAGAUAAAGUGUAAACAGGUGUAGGAUAGGACUUUGUGACCUGCUCCAUGAGCUGAAAAGAUCACCUUCGGGGAAGAUAAUGCACUUCCUUGUGCUCAUUUAAUCCUGAUCCUCUUUAGAGCUCAGGCUAACAGCCUUGUUGAAUUAUUACAAGCACAUUCUCAGGUAGAAAAGGAAUAUUUUAGGAGCCAAGCUGGGAUAUCAAACUCCUAACAAAAGGGCUUUUUUCUUGCCUAAUAGCAAACAAAUAACAGUAAUCAAAUCUGCUGGAAUCUAAAAGCACAUCAGUACCAUUUCUUGAAGGAAGAAUAAAAGACAAAGUGGCAUUCACUAAACAGAAGAGAGGCAAGUGAGAAAUAUCUGAGUAUCUGGUCCACAUUCCUGGAAUCGUUUGAUUGUUAAUCUAGAUCUGCAAAGAGAUAUAACUGCUGUUACCGUACAUCUCCUAAGGGGUCAAAAUUAGGGGUAAAGGGGGAAAUAAUUCAGUCAGAUUUUUGCAGUGGACCAACCCAAUCUUAUGAUCUUGAACUCUAUGGUCUAGAAUUGGGGACAAGAGUGCCCUGCAGAAUACUAUAGCACAGGUGCCAGGGUGUCAACGAGCACUCCUUCAACAAUACUCAAUGGACUCAACCACAUAGGUAAGACUGGAACAACUGCAGUACACAGCCUCCAAUACCUAUCCAACACAGACAACACAGGAUACCACAGGUCAGUGGUAUCAAAAGCUUAUGAGAGAUCAAGUUAGAGUUAACAGGGUUGCACUCCCUGCCCCUCUCCUGAUACAGGUAAUGCAACAGGGUGACCAAGACUGAUUCGGUCCUGAAACCAGAUAGAAAUGCUAAUGCUUAAGACUGAACCUGUCUGUACACAAAGCAUGUGCUCUACGAUUGAGCUAAGUCCCCCCCCCACUCAGAAACUUAUAACAAUUACCCUCCCAUUUGUUCUGCCUGUGUACUAAGGCAUCUAAAGUGAUCAAUCUUCCUAAUGAAUAAUGACUGUGACCUAGGAAGUAUGGAAGAGCUACUUGGGAUCAAGUGCUUCCCUUUGUAAACAGUUAUCUAUGGUUGUAUAGAGGAUCCUAUUUUUAAAUGUAAAUGAAAGAUGCUUAUGAAAUGAAAUGUAAAUGAAAGAUGAGUUCAGCUGUUCUUGCACUUCAUUCAGAAACUUGUAUGUCUGUGCCUCCUUUUUUAAAAACAAUGUUUGUUUGUUGGGCUUCGAAUGGCUAUAUAAUCCCAAGCAAUGUGAAAAAUUGUUUUUAACAUUGGAUGUUGAUCUAAAUGAUUUCUUUAAAAGUGCUUGCCCUUCUAGUCUAUAGGGAGAAUAGCAUUUUUAAAAUGUACUAUUAACCACACAGAAUAGAAGUUCUAAAAGUAUUAUUGUCCAUAGAGUUGAAGGAUGGGAACAUAUUGCAUCUCCAGGGAAGCCUAUGAGCACAGGCAUUUUGCUUUUUAGCAUAAAAGACUGUUUUCUCUUGCAAGGCUGAAACAUCCUUCUGUAGGUUGCUGGUUGAUAUCCAUCACAGCAGAACACAUGGCCAAGAUACGGGCCAAGAGUUUUCAUCUGGAAGCACUGUGACAGGUAUUAUUAUGAAUAACUAAGCUGUCUGUUCAACUCUUCAGCAUCACGUUGGAAGUCAGAAGAUGGCAGUCUUCACUCGUCAAAAACUCUGCAGAGCUAACAACUGUUCUUGAGGAUGGAAACAUAAACUAUAUCGGCAGCUUACUCUGUAUAUUUAGUGGCUGAAUUUUAAUUUGAAGUGUGGAAAAUGUUAAUUAAAUUCCUUGGGCUUUGAAAUAAGUAAUGGCAAAAUGGCUGCUAGUGUUUUACUACUUUGAACAGAACAAAUAGUUGGUAGCAUUAUAUUUGUUGCCCUCCCUUCCUAUUGCAAAAUAAGGACCUUGGAAGAUGAGAAACUCAAGGAAGAGGCAUACUGUAAGCAGAGCAGAACAACCCACUUUCAAUAUUUUGAAGGACAAACUAAAACCACCACCACUCCAAUAAUCUUGUGAAAGCCCUGUGCACACACCCCAAAUCUGCUCUGGGGGGGUCAUGAGAACCCCCAGAAUGGCAUACAGAAGAAAAAUGGAGAUCAUUUUGUCUGGCAAGAAGAAAUGCCUACACUGAUGCACGUAUGGUCACAUCAGAACUUACUGGCAGGUACUAGAGGCACUGAGCAAGAUUCAUAGCUUCAGUGAAUAAGGAUGGACUCCCCACUUCUCACUAGAGAGCCAGUGUGGUGUAGUGGUUAAGAGCAGUAGUCUCGUAAUCUGGGGAACUGGGUUCGCGCCUCCACUCCUCCACAUGCAGCUGCUGGGUGACCUUGGGCUAGUGACUCUUCUUUGAAGUCUCUCAGCCCCACUCACCUCACAGAGUGUUUGUUGUGGGGGAGGAAGGGAAAGGAGAAUGUUAGCCGCUUUGAGACUCCUUAAAGGGAGUGAAAGGCGGGAUAUCAAAUCCAAACUCCUCUUCUUCUUCUUCUUCUUCUUCUUCUUCUUCUUCUUCUUCUUCUUCUGCUAUUUCAAGGCUCAGGCAGCUCAAAUAAUAUUUAGAGAAAACAAGAAUGAUUUUUUUAAUCAAACAUGCAGAAGCAUGAAUGCAUAAUAAUCCUAAUGCUGAAUAUGGAUGCACCUCUGAUGGCCACUGUCCUGUUUCUUUCUUAUUGACCUUGUCCAAAUGACCUACAGCAAAAAUCUCUUUUUAAUUUAUUUUGGCUGAAGCCUAUAUAUGGCCACAAUCCAGUGAUGUAAACUCCACUUCUGCAUCAACUUGGAUGUAGAUAAAGGUCAUCUUCCAUCUCUCCGUCUCUCAAACUCACGCACUUUUAAAAAUCCAGCAUGACAGAAACUGUUUCACUGUGAAAUGCUGGAGGCUCGCCCGGCGCCUUUGUUGUAUAUCUUUAGGCAAAACAUUCCCCUUCCCACAGGCCUUUGGCUAAUUCCACAAUCUAUGCCCUUUUAGACUCUGUGAUGGUGGUGGUAGUUAUUUUUUUGGUUGUUGUUAUGGUAUAUAUUUUUGUGCUUUUACAUUGUAAACUGCCCACUGAUCCUCUGAUGAAGGGUGUUAUAAAAUUCAAUAAAUGGAUAAAAAUUAACCCUAUUUGCAAAGUGGCUGGUUUGUCAUGUUCCUGUGAAAGAAGCUGCGUUGACAUUAAGCCACACCCACUUUGACAUAUGGCCCUAGAGGGUUGGCCGUGAGUCAGUUCGGCACUUGGACUAAAAUAGUUUAGCCACUCCUGCACAAAUGGAAAGAACAGUGCAACCUGUUUGUGCCUGUCAAUACUGAAAUAAGCAUUUUAAAAGGAAACCCCCCACAAGCAUUUGACAUUUAUUAAUAUUCUCUUUCUCUUUUAAUAUUUUCUUUCAUGUUUCACAUAUUUAUAACAUUUUAUACACCACAGCUCUCAGCAGAAAACACUUUCAAAUGCAGAAAGUCAUUGAAUUUUGCUGUGUCUUUUUACAGUUGCAUUAUUAAUGUAAUUUCCUUUAACUUCUGAAGGCUGCAAUCCUAUCUCCUCAUACUUGGGAGUAUCCAUUGAGUAGGCAUGCAUAGGAUUACUCAGUUAAUAUACAAUGGGAUUUGUGAUUGCUUGAGGGGGUAAGGAUGAGGCUUUGCUAAGUUUCCAGCUAGCUAUUCUGAGGUUGCCUCUAACUUGAUUCCAUCAGUGUUGGGCUCUGAAAUGUCAGUCGUGCCUUGUGCAAUGCUAAAAUUUUGUGGCCCUUGUCUCUCUCGCUCUGUUGUGGUUACCCUAUGCAGUGCAGUGCCCGGUAUGGCCAAACCAAUUGUGCUACCCUAAAACCGUCUCUGAUUCCAUGCAGAGCAGAUAACAUGACAAAAUUGACUAUAGGGUAUGAGACAGAAGAACCCAGCGAGGUGGCAAAUUCAAUAUGUGCCCAUUUACAAAUGCGAGCUUUAUUAUUUACAGAGUAGUUAGUUAGACAAACUAAGUACAUUGGCAAUAUAAAAUGCUUUUAAGAAGGUUGUUAUAUAUAGCCAUUGGGACUUCUAUGGAAAAAACUUCAAAAAACAUUGCUUAGAUAACUUAAAUAUUUCUUUAGAAAUGAUAUCCACAAUUCCAUGGAAAAAUGUUUGGCACCAUUAUGCUAUCACUUAUUUGUAUUCAUUUUGCAGCUCUUUUAUUAAUGUCUAGUGACAUAGUCGAUAGAGAAAUUUUAUGCUACUGUUCUCUGGUUAAAAGGAAAUGUUCGUUUUUUCCUUUAAAAAACUACUUUAUUUUUUUUCAUGUUAUUCAUCUUCUGCUUGUGAUUUGGCUGGAAUGCUAAAGUAAAUGUUUAGCAGAAAGGCAUAGAAAUAAGGAAAUUUAAAUUAUUUCAAUUACUUAGCUCAACUGCAACCCAAACUAACCUUUAUAAUUAUUUGAGAGGAGAGAUGCAAUCCCACAUCAGGGGAAAAAACCCAGCAAUUGCAAGAACAUUGGAUUUUGCAUGCCAAUGGAUUCUUUUGAAGCAAACACUAUAACAUCCCAAAAUAGCUGAACAUGACUGUAGUGAUGAAAUUUUCUCAUAUUUAAAUAUGAAAGGAUGAGAUCCAUCUCAUUUCACAUAUAGUUUUGUUCUCUCCAGAAUCAUUUAGAGAAAGAAAUUUGUUAAUAAUUUAAUCUUAUGGUAGUAUUUUCUGCAUUUCAGAUGAAUUAUUUCUCCUCAGACCCAAGGAUAGAAGAAACUGACAGUUUUGGCAUUGUUGUUGACUUCCCUGAUCACCAUCUCCAGUUAAACUGCUUGUCAUUGGUGUGGACAGCAGUUAGCCACUUGUUGGUGAGAGAGGGUUGAGAAUUUUACCCACAUGUAGAAUUUUGGUGCUGUGCUUUGGCUGACAACUGUUGGACCUAGAUUUCACUGUACGCAGGGAUAACAUUGGGUUGUAUCCAUAAGGAUACAACUGCCAACCUAGCAGUUCAAAAGCACACCAGUGCAAGUAGAUAAAUAGGUACCGCUGCAGUGGAAAGGUAAACGGUGUUUCCGUGCACUCUGGUUUCUGUCACAGUAUUCCAUUGCACCAGAAGCGGUUUAGUCAUGCUGGCCAUGUGACCCAGAAAGCUGUCUGUGGACAAACACCAGCUCCUUCAGCCUGAAGCAAGGUGAGUUCACUGGACUUAACCGUCCAGGGGUCCUUUACCUUUUUACGUGUAUCCAUAACUGGGAGGUGGUGCUCACCCUACGUCCCACUGGGAAGUCACUUUACUGCCCCAGUCUUGUGUCAAACUGUGAAAUGAAACCCAUCCAAGCUGUGGCCAUUUUAAACUCACAACCAUCCUUUGUAAUCAUUGCUUCCACACAACUUCUGUUAUGCACGGAAGUGCAAUGAAUUUGUAUGCUAAUUAUGUGCCUGUUGUAUGACAAAGUACUUUCUUUGUUUUUUCCUGAAUCUAUUGCUAAUCAAUAGAUUCAGUGGGUUACCUUAAGUUAUAGGGGCAUGGUCUUCUCUCUCCACCUCCUAAACACAAUUGUAUUUUUUUAUAAACUUCUAUCUGCCUGAAGUUCCCAGUUGGUUGUAUUUUUCUUAAAUAAAUAAAUAACCACAAAUUCUUUCACUUUUUACUUGUAAAGAAGGCACACCAUCCUCCAGAUCAUUUUUUCCAGUUAUAUAUUGUUUUUGAGAUGGGGUGGCAAUGAAUCUCAAAUGUAGCCAUACCAUAGAUUUGUACAAUUAUGCUGUAUGUUAUCCUUUCUAUUCUAGCAUAUUGUGUAUAGAGGAAGAGGAGGAGUACUUCCGAUAAGUGUACAUACAAUUAUGCUGCAUGUUUUCCUUUCUGUUCCAGAAUAUUAUAUAUAUGGCUGAGCAUUCAUGUGGCUAUCAAUACGUUAUUCACAUUAGCCCUUCUCUUUCCUCAGGGUGAUGUCUGUCUAAUUAUUGCAUCUGUAGGUAUCUCUAUAAUACUGAGAAAGUAAAAUUAAAUUUUGUCCAUCAGCAGCUACUGCAAAUGAUAAUGAUUGCUGCGUGCAGCAGCUGAAACUUUUCAGUUAAUGGUACUCUUCAGGAGAUCACACUCAAAAAUAGUACCAAAAAAGCUUUAAAUGGGCUCCCAAUAUGCUCCCAAUGAUAGUGCAUAUGAGUGGGUGGCCCCAACCUUGCUUUCAAUCACCACUUCUGCAUUAUAAACUGCAGGAGUUUCAGGCCCCCUGCUGUAUCUCCGGCUGCUAAGGUGAUUCUCAUUUCUGCAUCUGGACACAGCAAGUGCUCUGCCUCUUGAUUUUAUUUUUUAAAAUAUUGUAAGCUUAAUAGACUGGAGGGCAAUUCAAAAAAGAGGCUACAGGUCAAAUUCUCAGCUGGCGUAAACUGUUGUGGCAUUACUGACAGAAUUAAGCUCUUUGACUCUAGCUAGUAUUUUAAUAGACUUCAAAGGCAGAUAUCGAGUCACAAUAUUUGACAAGACUUGAAGAUCUUACAUCUGGAAAAUUGUAUUUUGAUACCACUGUUUCAGACUCAUGGCUAUUUACACCCCCCAGUAAAAUAAUCUCUGACUGUGCUAUGUAUUGAUGAAAGAAACAACUCGUAUUUGAUAACACACAACUUUUGAUCCUUCUUAGUGCAGAUUUCAUGCCUGCCUCACACACAGAAAGUCUCAGAAGGGGAAUGAGAUUUCUGCAUAGUAUUCUACGACGUCUUCAAAAUGUAUGUGAUAUUUUGUACUUCAAAAUACAUGCCUUAAAAUUCCCCUUUGUUGUGGAUGCCACUGACUGAUUUGUGAAUUUUAAAAACUUAGAAUCCAGCAC